UGCCAGCCGCCGCGGUAAUACGGAGGGGGUUAGCGUUGUUCGGAAUUACUGGGCGUAAAGCGCACGUAGGCGGACUGUUAAGUUAGAGGUGAAAUCCCGGGGCUCAACCCCGGAACUGCCUUUAAUACUGGCAGUCUAGAGUUCGAGAGAGGUGAGUGGAAUUCCGAGUGUAGAGGUGAAAUUCGUAGAUAUUCGGAGGAACACCAGUGGCGAAGGCAGCUGACUGGGCAUGUUCUGACGCUCAGGUACGAAAGCGUGGGUAGCGAACGGGAUUAGAUA
rnacentral:rRNA from 1 species